UACGUAGGGUGCGAGCGUUAAUCGGAAUUACUGGGCGUAAAGCGUGCGCAGGCGGUGAUGUAAGACAGAUGUGAAAUCCCCGGGCUCAACCUGGGAACUGCAUUUGUGACUGCAUCGCUGGAGUGCGGCAGAGGGGGAUGGAAUUCCGCGUGUAGCAGUGAAAUGCGUAGAUAUGCGGAGGAACACCGAUGGCGAAGGCAACCCCCUGGGACGGCACUGACGCUCAUGCACGAAAGCGUGGGGAGCAAACAGG
rnacentral:rRNA from 1 species